CUGGAAGGGAGAGUGGCGACUGAUUGGGACUUUAAAGUAAAACAACUGCAAUUUUAACCUGCGUGCAGACAAAAACAUCCAUUCAGGCAGCAGAAGCGAUAGAAGAAACAUUACAUCUGCAUCAUAAAAAACUGCUCUCUAUCGUACUUUGUGUCCUCUGUCUGCCAGACUGCGAGAAAUCAGGCUAGACUAGAAGAGCAGCAUGACGCCUGCCCUGACACACGCAUGAAUCCCACAUAAACAGAAAUGUGCUCUGCAGAUAUAUGUAAAAGGAACACAAAGAGAGUGAGAUGAUUCAGUGGCUCCGAUGAGCGGUGGGUGCCAGUUAGCUGGGAUGCAGUUAGAGGACACCCCCUGCGGAGCGACAACCUACAGGCCUAACAUUAAUGAUCCUGCUGAUGAAAAGUUGAUCUUGACAUCAGAGAGGUUAAAAAUACACUCGUGACAGAGGUGAAGAGUCCUGCAUGCGUUCCUGUGGCUUACAAAGUAGAGCAAGAUG